GUCGGUCUGACGAUUGCUAGGGUGGCCGAAAGACUUUCCUGGCCAAUGCACCAAUUUUGUUGCAUAAAUCUAUGCUGGGUUCUUUGCUCUUGGAUAGGUGUUCCAGACCCCCCCUCAUACACCUGGCAAGGAAAAGGGAGUGAGAAGCACAUGGAGGAAGAAUCAAAUAUAUUCAUCGUUUGUCCUGAUUAGAUAAGGUACAGUCAUAAGUUGCAAGAACGCUGACAGAACAUAGAGAGAGGGAGAGAAUGGAACGUUGGCUCUGUGUAAGCAGAUAAGAUGAAGGAGAGAGCUAGCAGGACCUUUUUGGCAACAAGUUUGGCAGGCAGAGCCGUGCAGAGACAAAACUAGUUACCUGCGAGUGUGGCACACCAACAACUUUGUCAUUUGCACGCCAUGGCUUCCUUGGACAGAUUACAGGCCUGCCUUCAGUGGUUAUCGAGCUGUCUUUCUAAAUGAGCAACCCUGGGCUCCAAAUGAAUGUUUAAUUUUCUCCUGUAAAAUACUGGCUGAUUAAUCUCCAUUUUGUAAGCUACAUAGCAUUUGGGAAAGAUAAAUAAAGACAUUUAGCAAUAA